UACCAGCGACCCCGAGUGGUCGGGACGUUUAUUGGGCCUAAAGCAUCCGUAGCCGGUUCUACAAGUCUUCCGUUAAAUCCACCUGCUUAACAGAUGGGCUGCGGAAGAUACUAUAGAGCUAGGAGGCGGGAGAGGCAAGCGGUACUCGAUGGGUAGGGGUAAAAUCCGUUGAUCCAUUGAAGACCACCAGUGGCGAAGGCGGCUUGCCAGAACGCGCUCGACGGUGAGGGAUGAAAGCUGGGGAGCAAACCGG
rnacentral:rRNA from 1 species